rnacentral:rRNA from 1 species
GACGCACGCUGGCGGCGUGCCUAAUACAUGCAAGUAGGCCGCAGUUGCGCACGGGUGAGUAACGCGUAGGUAACUGCCUAUUAGAGGGGGAUAACUAUUGGAAACGAUAGCUAAUACCGCCUACUAGUAGAUGGACCUGCGUUGUAUUAGCUAGUAGGUAGGGUAAUGGCCUCCCUAGGCGACGAUACAUAGCCGACCUGAGAUGGUUAUCGGCCACACUGGGACUGAGACUCGGCCCAGACGCCUACGGGAGGCAGCAGUAGGGAAUCGUCGGCAAUGGGGUGCAGCCCGACCGAGCAACGCCGCGUGAGUGAAGAAGGUUUUCGGAGCUGAAAGCUCUGUUGUUAAGGAAGCGGUACUUAACCAGAAAGGGACGGCUAACUACGUGCCAGCCGCCGCGGUAAUUC